rnacentral:rRNA from 1 species
AUUGAACGCUGGCGGCAGGCCUAACACAUGCAAGUCGAGCGAGCGGCGGACGGGUGAGGACUGUAUGGGGACUGCCCGUUAGAGGGGGAUCACUACUGGAAACGGUAGCUAAUACCGCACACAAUCGGAUUCCCCAUGCGGGAGUGGCUAGUAGGUGGGGUAAUGGCUCACCUAGGCGACGAUCCCUAGCGGGUCUGAGAGGAUGAUCAGCCACACUGGGACUGAGACACGGCCCAGACUCCUACGGAGGCAGCAGUGGGGAAUAUUGCACAAUGGGCGCAAGCCUGAUGCAGCAAUGCCGCGUGUGUGAAGAAGGCCCUAGGGUUGUAAAGUACUGUCAGUAGGGAGGCGUUACCGAAAGAAGAAGCACCGGCUAACUCCGUGCCAGCAGCCGCGGUAAUAC